AUACGUAGGGGGCAAGCGUUAUCCGGAUUCAUUGGGCGUAAAGAGCUCGUAGGCGGCCCGUUAGGUCAGGAGUCAAAUUCGGGGGCUCAACCCCCGCGCGCUCCUGAUACCGGCGGGCUUGAGUUUGGUAGGGGAAGGUGGAAUUCCCAGUGUAGCGGUGGAAUGCGCAGAUAUUGGGAAGAACACCGGUGGCGAAGGCGGCCUUCUGGGCCAUAACUGACGCUGAGGAGCGAAAGCUAGGGGAGCGAACAGGAUUAGAUACCCUGGUAGUCCUAGCCGUAAACGAUGGACACUAGGUGUGGGCGAAUGUUUCGUCCGCGCCGCAGCCAACGCAUUAAGUGUCCCGCCUGGGGAGUACGGCCGCAAGGCUAAA
rnacentral:rRNA from 1 species